rnacentral:tRNA from 1 species
GGAAGUAUGACUUAAAUGGUAGAGUACCAGAUUAGUAACUGCAAGGCCCUGAGUUCAAACCUCAGUAUUGCCA